UCCCUGGUGGCUCAGAUGGUAAGGUGUCUGCCUGCAAUGCAGGAGACCCAGGUUCAAUUCCUGAGUUGGGAU
rnacentral:tRNA from 1 species